rnacentral:rRNA from 1 species
UACGAAGGGGGCUAGCGUUGCUCGGAAUCACUGGGCGUAAAGGGUGCGUAGGCGGGUCUUUAAGUCAGGGGUGAAAUCCUGGAGCUCAACUCCAGAACUGCCUUUGAUACUGAAGAUCUUGAGUUCGGGAGAGGUGAGUGGAACUGCGAGUGUAGAGGUGAAAUUCGUAGAUAUUCGCAAGAACACCGAUGGCGAAGGCAGCCAUCUGGACCGGCACUGACGCUGAGGCGCGAAAGCGUGGGGAGCAAACAGG